rnacentral:rRNA from 1 species
GUCGUCAGCUCGUGUCGUGAGAUGUUGGGUUAAGUCCCGCAACGAGCGCAACCCUUUUCAUUACUUGCCAGCAUUUCGGAUGGGAACUUUAAGGAUACUGCCAGUGACAAACUGGAGGAAGGCGGGGACGACGUCAAGUCAUCAUGGCCCUUACGGCACGGGCUACACACGUGCUACAAUGGUCGGUACAAAGGGUUGCUACACAGCGAUGUGAUGCUAAUCUCAAAAAGCCGAUCGUAGUCCGGAUUGGAGUCUGCAACUCGACUCCAUGAAGUCGGAAUCGCUAGUAAUCGCGGAUCAGAAUGCCGCGGUGAAUACGUUCCCGGGCCUUGUACACACCGCCCGUCACCCCAUGGGCGUCUGUUUCACCAGAAGUAGCUAGCCUAACUGCAAAGAGGGCGGUUACCACGGUGU